UACGAAGGGGGCUAGCGUUGUUCGGAAUUACUGGGCGUAAAGCGUGCGCAGGCGGCUUCUCAAGUCAGGGGUGAAAGCCCAGAGCUCAACUCUGGAAUUGCCUUUGAGACUGAGUGGCUUGAGUACGAGAGAGGUGAGUGGAAUUCCCAGUGUAGAGGUGAAAUUCGUAGGUAUUGGGAAGAACACCGGUGGCGAAGGCGGCCCCCUGGGCCGGCCCUGACACUGAGACGCGAAGGCGUGGGGAGCGAACGGG
rnacentral:rRNA from 1 species